rnacentral:rRNA from 1 species
AUUGAACGCUGGCGGCAGGCUUAACACAUGCAAGUCGAGCGGGGGAGGUUGCUUCGGUAACUGACCUAGCGGCGGACGGGCGAGUAAUGCUUAGGAAUCUGUCUAUUAGUGGGGGACAACAUUUCGAAAGGAAUGCUAAUACCGCAUACGUCCUACGGGAGAAAGCAGGGGAUCUUCGGACCUUGCGCUAAUAGAUGAGCCUAAGUCGGAUUAGCUAGUUGGUGGGGUAAAGGCCUACCAAGGCGACGAUCUGUAGCGGGUCUGAGAGGAUGAUCCGCCACACUGGGACUGAGACACGGCCCAGACUCCUACGGGAGGCAGCAGUGGGGAAUAUUGGACAAUGGGCGCAAGCCUGAUCCAGCCAUGCCGCGUGUGUGAAGAAGGCCUUAUGGUUGUAAAGCACUUUAAGCGAGGAGGAGGCUACUUUAGUUAAUACCUAGAGAUAGUGGACGUUACUCGCAGAAUAAGCACCGGCUAACUCUGUGCCAGCCGCCGCCGUAAAAC